AUUGAACGCUGGCGGCAUGCCUUACACAUGCAAGUCGAACGGUAACGGGCCUUCGGGUGCCGACGAGUGGCGAACGGGUGCGUAAUACAUCGGAACGUGCCCGAUCGUGGGGGAUAACGAGGCGAAAGCUUUGCUAAUACCGCAUACGAUCUACGGAUGAAAGCAGGGGACCGCAAGGCCUUGCGCGGACGGAGCGGCCGAUGGCAGAUUAGGUAGUUGGUGGGAUAAAAGCUUACCAAGCCGACGAUCUGUAGCUGGUCUGAGAGGAUGAUCAGCCACACUGGGACUGAGACACGGCCCAGACUCCUAAGGGAGGCAGCAGUGGGGAAUGUUGGACAAUGGGCGCAAGCCUGAUCCAGCCAUGCCGCGUGCAGGAUGAAGGCCUUCGGGUUGUAAACUGCUUUUGUACGGAACGAAAAGCCUUCUUUUAAUACAGGGGGGUCAUGACGGUACCGUAAGAAUAAGCACCGGCUAACUACGUG
rnacentral:rRNA from 1 species